UACGGAGGGUGCAAGCAUUAAUCGGAUUCAUUGGGCGUAAAGCGCGCGCAGGCGGCUCGGAAAGUCGGGUGUGAAAACUCGGGGCUCAACCCCGGGCGUGCAUCCGAUACUGCCGGGCUUGAGGCAGGUAGGGGAGAUCGGAAGUUCCUGGUGUAGCGGUGAAAUGACGCAGAUAUCAGGAGGAACACCGGUGGCGAAGGCGGAUCUCUGGGCCUGUCCUGACGCUGAGGCGCGAAAGCUAGGGGGAGCGAACAGG
rnacentral:rRNA from 1 species